GUCCAAGAUCUUAUCUUUUUUCUCAUUUUGUGUUCUUUUCUUUACUACAUUCUGUUGUAUCAAGAAUCCCCUCAUUACAGCUUUGCUUGCGUCCCAGACGAUUCUUUUUCCACCGAAUUGUUCAUGUUUAUCUCAAAAUAGUCCUUCAAAACUUUUUGGGCCUUCUUGGUAAUUUCCUGAUCUCUAAACAAAUUGUCAUUCAUCUUCCAUCUAAAGGAUCCAGUUGGUAGUAGUGUCAUAUCCAUCUUUACUGCAUUAUGGUCAGAGCAGGUCUUUGGGCAGAUUUCCACUUUUCUGACCUUAGGUGCCAGGCCUCUGGAAAUCCAUAUUUGGUCGAUUCUUGUCCAGGUCAGUUGGGCUUCAGAAAAGAAUGUUCCUUCUCUACCUAGUGGGUUCUUUGUCCUCCAAAUGUCAAUCAAAUCCAUAUUGUCAGUCAUUUCAAAAAAAGUUUUAGGUAGUCUGCCGUCUUUUGUAACAUUUUGACUUUGUGACUUGUCCAUGUUAGUUGACACGACCCCGUUCAUAUCUCCCAUCAUUAUGAUGUUGUUGUAAUCCAGAUAGUCCAGCAUUGUCCCCUGCAGCUUCUUGUAAAAUUCCGAUUUCCCUUCAUUAGGUGCAUAGAUUCCUAAUAUCAACAGUUUCUCUCCUUGAUAUUGUAUCUCAAUGGCCAAAAUUCUUCCAUGUUCAUCUUUAAAUAAGAAUUUAGGUGACAGGCUCUCUUUUGCAUAUAUCACCACGCCUCUCUUCUUAACUUUGUCCGACGAAACAAAUUCCUGGCCCAAUCUUUUAUUUAUUAACACUUUUCUGUGGAGCCUCGUCACAUGUGUUUCUUGUAAACAGAUAAUGUCCAAUUGUUCUUUUUUAAUAUAUGAAAUAUUUUCUUCCUUUUUCCGGAAUGUUACAACCAUUAAUGUUCCAACUCAGCAAUUGCAGAGACAUCCUGGAUCUAUCUGGUUAUUUCUCCAGGGGUGGUAUCUUCUCUGGAUCUUCAGGUUCCCCAGGUGCUGGUGUUAAUGCUGGCUUUGCCCCAGGCCCAGAAGGUAAUUCAAUUCCUUUUUGAAGGUCCUCUCCGUAUGUAGCCAAAAAUUUGUCUCUCUCUUCCAAUGUUCUAACUUUGACCUUUCUCCCUUUAAAGGUAAAAGAUAUUCCUUGGGGAAAUUCCCACCUGAAUGGAAUUGCGUUGCUCCUUAGUAGUUUAGCAAGUUCAGAAUAGGCGGCUCUAAGAUCCAGCAGUUGUCUUGGAAUAUCUUUAUAAAUUUCAAUUCUUCUGUCCAAAACCUCCAGUGACUUUCCGUAAUGUAGGCCCAAAAUCUUAUCCCUUUCCUCCUUUGAUCUCAAUGUAAUCAAACAGUCUCUGGGCCUCUCCUUCUUUGUGAAUCUUCCAAGUCUGAAAGCCGACACAAUUUUAAAAUCCUUUUCUUCCAAAUUCCAGAACUUGGAAAAUUCUUUAGUCAAAAACUCAGUUAAAUUUCCUUCUUCUGCCUCUUGUAAUGAUCUAAUCCUCAAAUUAUUCUCACGAUUUCGCAGUUCUAUCAUGGAAAGAUAAGUCUGAUGUUCCCCAACUUGUUUAGUGAGUGGUCUUACCUCUUGCUCUAAAUUUUCCAAUUUUUGUCUAGUAUCCUCAGCCAAUUUCCGAUUUUCUGCUGAGGCCUCCGUUAACUGUCCAAUUGCUUGUGUAUUCUGUACCACUUGUAUGGUUAAUUUAUUUAGACAUUCUGUAUUUUUGUCAAUCUUUGCUGAUUGCGCAUCUACUUUCUUGUCCAAAGCUUCCAAUUUUUCAAAGAUUUUGUCUAGAACAGAAACAGAUGCUCCUGAGGCCAUAUCUUCCAAUUGUAACUGCUCUGCUUCACCCUCUCCCUCUUUUGCCUGUGGCAAGGCAACUUCUUCAAGUUCUACUUCUGAGGGCAAAGUAGGUACAGAUGAUCUACGUGUCUGCGAGGCUGAGGUUAGAGUUGUUAAAGUUGUUUGUCUAACUCUCCCUCUUUUCCUUGUGCCACUCAUUCCAACGUUGUCUAUCAGUCAAGGUCACACUGAGUUUUUCCCAUGGGAAUAGAAAGGCCCAGAGCAAGCAAACAACAAGGGAAUCGAAAGUAAAUGUAGAUGUAAAGUCACUGUUUUAAUCCAAUCCUCUAGAGGGAGCUUAAAAUGUCUUUCAGAGUCUAAUUUAAUGUCCAAGAACCUUCAGAUAUAAAUAUUUAGCAGAGUUUAUAAGUAGUCACUUUGUUACAGACAGUGCUUAUUUAUCUCCAAAAGAAUGUUUCAAAUUUAAAAAGUCUCAAUACCCUCAGAUUGUUGCAAGUUCCAAUAUACAGUAUCCAAAUCUGCAAUACUGACAGCUCAAUCUCUCAAUGCUCAGGCAGCUCCUGACUCUGGGUUUCACCUUCUAAUUUGUAAUCCAAUAAAAGGAGGAAAGUCAAGUGCAAGUUAAAAUUCCGAAUCUUUAGCUUAAAGUCUUUACUUUAAAUUGCAAGUUCAGUAGAUGCUUAGAUCUGUAAAGUUUAAAAUCUCUUCCUUUCAGCCUCCACUCCUCCAACUUAGUUGCUUUUUUCAAGUUCAAUGGCUGCGGAAGACGGACUUCCUGUUUCCACGUCUCUCCGCUUUCAGCCAAGUUCAAGCCAAUUUAAGGUUUUUCAUUUAAAGUCUCUAAUUUCAAGUGAUUCAGUCUUUACUCACGAGUAAGUUGCUUUUCGUCCGAAUCCGUAUUUUAACAGGAAAAAGGAUCAGCGCUCACCGGCAGCAGCAGCGCGGCUUCACUCCGCAGACUGUGAAGCAGCUCUCAGCGCCGCAACCCCCCUCCACGCUCCGGAGCCCCUUACGAGGUUCCUUUCACGUUUGGAGGGUCACUUAAGGCGCCCACCGAGCCUCAAGACCCCAAGCUCUUGCUGCCUGGGGUUUUCCGGAGUGGGUCUCCGCUUCGCCGUAGCGGACGACCCGUUGUCUGCGGAGCCUCCUCUCCCGUUCAGAAGAGGACCGCCAUUGCCGUUCGCGCCGCCCCUCUUGGGCGUUCAGUACUCUUGGCCAUGCCUACUGCUUGGAAAGAAGGUUAGAAAUACCUUCCAGACCUCAAGAGUGGGGAAAGGCUAUAUAGUUCAGUGGCAGAGUGUCUGCUUUGCAUGCCGAAGGUCCCUGAUUCAAUCCCCGGCAUCUCUAGGGCUGCUGCGAACCCUGAGGAGCUGCUACCAGUUAGUUUAGACCAGUGUCUCCCAAACUUGGGUCUCCAUCUUUUUUGGACUACAGUUUCCAUCAACCCUGACCACUGGUCUUGGUAGCUAUGGAUGAUGGGAGUUGUAGUAAAAACAACAACAACUGGAGACACAAUUUGGGAAACACUAGUGUAGACAGUGCUGAGCUAGAUUGAUCAAUGAUGUGACUCUGCAUAAGGCAGCUUCCUGUGAUCCUAAGUAACUGGAUAAAUCCUGUGGAUUCUGGCAGGGCCUUUUCUCUCACCACCCCAUAUUUGAAAAUCACCCCCUUGCUGAAAUACAGAGCCUUCAUUUCAUCAGCAUUGUUAUUCUACUGAAAACACAUCUGUUUAGUCAAGCAUUCCCCUUAAUUUGAACUUCCUAAUCUAAUUGUUUUAAUUUUUCUUGUAACUGUUUUAAUUGUUAUGCUUUUUAAUUGCCCUGUGGGGGAUUUUUUUUGUAAAUUUUAAUUAAGGGUAUUUUUAUUGUUUCGAUGGAAGUGUUGCAUUACCUACUUUAAUUUUGUGUGGAUUUUAUAGUUGUACAUGCCAUUUUGGCAUGUAAGCAGUAUAUAAAUUGAUAAAUUAUGGCAGUGAUGCACACAUACCUUUGAUUCUAGCCUCAUACACAUACAGCAUCUAUGGAAUUUUCCCCAAGAAGUGCCCUGUGUAAACCAAAAACUUGCUUCCAAUAUUUUAAAAAUUAGUUGAUCAGAUAGAAAAAGGUAUCUUCCUGCUAUUCUAUGCAUUAAAUAGCCUAGAAUUUAGUUGUCUUCCAGGUGGUGUUUGGGUGUAACUGAAACACACAUUUCACCAUACAUUUUUGCUGCAAUAAAAGAUAAAAAACGCUGCCAAUUUGCCUCCCUUUUUGCUUUUUUCUGCAGUUGACUGCCACUCAGGCUGGGAGCUUAAGCUCCCAGAGGCACUGGCAGUGUUGCUAAGAGCAGAAUUACAUAUCGCACAAUUGCACCAGGGCCCCAGUGCUGAUUCCAUCUUCUGAGAUCUGAUUUGUAUGUAAAUACUCAGCAAUCACCUCCAGGAAGAGAGAGAUGGGAGGCUUCUUUUCAUCAGAAUCUUUUGAAGCAUCCUCACUAUGGAGUUUAGCUGCACUGGGGUUUCGGGCCAGAAACUGGAUUGGAUUGGAAAUGGUUUGCCUUAAAGAUGAAGAUUAUUUGCACAGCUGGAUUCAUUCCCCUCUCCCAGUUUUCUUCUGUAACUAAUUAAAAUUAUAAUGAGGCUUAGACUCUUUAAAAUACCAGUAGCAUCAUCCUGACCUCUAGAUGCCGAAUAUUGCAGUGUGGCUUGUAUGUUUGAGAGGGAAUUAUGCCCAUAUAAAUCUCAACAUGCUCCAUUUAAAAUUGCAAAAAGAUUUAGGCGAAGUCAUCUAACAUUUCUGAAGUCUGUGCCGGAUGUGAUCUUUCUUUCCCAACAUCCUGACCAGGCAUGCAUAACCUGUGACUUUCCAAACCAAAUGCAGCCUACCAGCAAUGUAAGGUGACCCUGCAGCAGGUCAGUAAGCCGCCUGGCUUUGCUGCCUGCCUGGGACUGCACACACAAGGUGGGGUUGUCAAGUUUCUGUCAGAUUACAAUGGAUGACUAAUAGGUUGUGUUCAUCCUGGUAGGGUAACAAGUUGUGCAUGGCUCUUCAAAGCUCCCUCUUUUUAAAGCAAAGACUGAUACAUGCACCAUCAUAACAGAGCCGUAGCUAGGGGGUGAUGAGGUGGGCUUCCUUCAGGGGCACAGGCAGGGCCCCCCUCAAAAUCGGCUAAUAAAUAUGUCUAUAAAUAAAAAUAUUGAUCAUUGCCUCAUAAGAAAAGGUUUUAAAUAGAGGGUGAAUUGAAUGGGGGGGGGUUGGAGGAGAGGCGGAAAGAAGAGAUAAUUUAUCAGUGGCUAGGGGGUGCAAUCUGGACAGUUCAGCCAGGGGCACAAGAUCACCCAGCUAUGGCUCUGCAUCAUAAUGGGUCAAAGAAGCAACGCCAUCUCCGUCUCCAGGUGCAUUUCAUUCACAAAAAUGCAUUGUAUCAGUCUCAGGCGGAAGCUCCUUGUCACCAAAGGCUAAACUGCCAAACAUCAGGCGUGAGGACCCCCAAUGCUUGCCCCUUGUUCACAAAGUUUCUUCUCCCCUUGAAGAACAUAGGAACCAUCUGCUCCCCACGCUGCUUGCUAAAACAGGGAGAUGGCUUAGUUUUGCUUGUGGUGGUGGUGGAGGAGGAGAAUGUGUUGGCACAGUGAUCUAUCACAGGAAAAACCUUUCCCCUCUCUUCUUCUCUCUUUUGCCCAUCAUGCCUGCUGCAAAGAGGAGAGCUUUGGAGCAAGGAAAGAAAGGUUCUUCCCCAACAUCCCUGCCAUAUAUCUGCCAAUUCAAACACUUUUAGAAUACCAGCAACAGGAGCUGUCCUUAAACACAUAGGUUUUGGGUAGUGCUGGAGUGUGACAAAAAUUCUGCCUUUAUCUAAGUGGUAGCACAGAACUGCUUAUUCUUGUAUUAAGGGGGAAUUUACUUGCCAAAUCUAGUUUUAAAUAAAUAUCAAGAUUUGGGGUAAUUCAGCAG
rnacentral:lncRNA from 1 species